UACUGCUAAUGCAGCUUUACAUAAACGAGCUACAAGUUGCCGAAAUUUAUGAGGCUGAGAAGUUUUUGAUGUGUGUUCUUUCUGUAGAUUCCUAAAUGUUCCAUUCUUCCAUUCCAUUCCAUGGUUGCUAGAGCAGAGGUGUCCUCGUCUGAUAUUCUGUUAAAUGGGGAUUUAAGAUUUUCAGAAUUUAUGUAUGUCGGGGACCUGUUUGUUGGUUUGUACGAGUUAGUACAACAGACGUAGGAGCUUCCGAGCUUAUCGCCUUAAAUUUGUGGUUGCUGCUACUAUUGGGCUUUCAAGGCUUUUUAGGCAGAUUUUUUGGCGUAAAUCACUUUUUGUUGUGAUGGACGAUGGUGGUUGCAGCAGGUGGGGGUGGAGAAGAGGACGAGAAGAGUUAAAAGGAGAAGAAAGCGGUGAAGCUGACACCAAUUUAUCUAUAGAGUAGAUGCUUAAUGUACCCAAAGUUGAACAUUGAUGUAUCUGGCUCUAAGGUUUUAUGAACGUAGUUUCUUUACUUGUAAUUAGUUAUAGAUGAUCUUUUGCUCA